rnacentral:rRNA from 1 species
GAUGAACGCUGGCGGCGUGCCUAACACAUGCAAGUCGAGCGAGAAGGUUAUGACGGAUUCUUCGGAUGACGGAUUAACUGGAAAGCGGCGGACGGGUGAGUAACGCGUGGGUAACCUGCCCCAUACACAGGGAUAGCCAUUGGAAACGAUGAUUAAUACCUGAUAACACAUUUUGAUCGCAUGGUUUGAAUGUCAAAGAUUUAUCGGUAUGGGAUGGACCCGCGUCUGAUUAGCUAGUUGGUAAGGUAAUGGCUUACCAAGGCGACGAUCAGUAGCCGACCUGAGAGGGUGAUCGGCCACACUGGAACUGAGACACGGCCCAGACUCCUACGGGAGCAGCAGUGAGGAAUCUUGGACAAUGGGGAACCUGAUCCAGCCAUGCCGCGUGAACG